rnacentral:lncRNA from 1 species
UGAAGUUAUCUUUUAAUAGAUUUAACUAGUUUUAAUUUGUAGAUGUCUCAUAUAAUCAAUUUGUAUGUAAAAAUAUCACAUUUAUUCUUUAAAAUUGUGUGUGUGAGUUUUUUUCUUUUUCAUUUUCUUUUUCUUUUUUUUUUUUAAAAAAUAUUUCAACACCAUGGAUAAAAUAAUUAACAUAUUAAAAAUCUUUAGAAACUAAAAACAAGUUCUAAGAGCGACUAAAAUAA